rnacentral:rRNA from 1 species
UACGUAGGGGGCAAGCGUUGUCCGGAUUUAUUGGGCGUAAAGCGCGUGUAGGCGGCCACGCAGGUCCGCUGUGAAAACUCGAGGCUCAACCUCGAGAUGUCGGUGGAAACCGCGUGGCUAGAGUCCGGAAGAGGAGAGUGGAAUUCCCGGUGUAGCGGUGAAAUGCGCAGAUAUCAGGAAGAACACCAAUGGCGAAGGGGAGUCCCUGGACAACUCCUGACACUGAGGCACGAAAGCUAGGGGAGCAAACAGG